rnacentral:rRNA from 1 species
AAUCAACGCUGGCGGCGUGCCUCAGACAUGCAAGUCGAACGAUUAAAGCUCUCUUCGGAGAGUGCAUAGAGUGGCGCACGGGUGAGUAACACGUAAGUAAUCUACCCUCGAGUGGGGAAUAACAGUCGGAAACGACUGCUAAUACCGCAUAAUGCAGCGGCACCGCAAGGUGACAGUUGUUAAAGGAGCAAUCCGCUUGAGGAGGAGCUUGCGGCAGAUUAGCUAGUUGGUAGGGUAAUGGCUUACCAAGGCUACGAUCUGUAUCCGGUCUAAGAGGACGGUCGGACACACUGACACUGAAUAACGGGUCAGACUCCUACGGGAGGCAGCAGUCGGGAAUUUUGGGCAAUGGGCGAAAGCCUGACCCAGCAACGCCGCGUGAAGGAUGAAGUAUUUCGGUAUGUAAACCUCGAAAGAAUAGGAAGAAUAAAUGACGGUACUAUUUAUAAGCUCCGGCUAACUACGUGCCAGCAGCCGCAGUAAGAC